rnacentral:sRNA from 1 species
GUGGAAAAUCAACCCUCCUCCAUACAAAGUAUUUGAUUGACUUCAUAAUUAUACAUCUACCUCAAAUACUUGCCAGAUCAUCAUUAAAUUGAUAUUUUUCAAUUCCUCAGUUAUUUGACUAUCUCCUUAGCUAUUUUACAAUCUCUUAUCUCUUUUGAACAUGGCACAAUCAUUGAUGAAAGAGAAUGUGUCUUUUGAAUCUCAAACCUCAUCUCAUCAGUCAUGAUCAGCCCAAUAUGAUUUAUCUGAUGAAGAAGAAUUACCUCAAUAAUCACUACACUCUUUCAAUGAUAUAGAUAAUGAAUAUAAGACAUCAGACAGUGAUUUAACAGAUCUUGAUUCUAUUGAUACUUUUUCAGAUCUUGAGAUUAUUAAUACUCUGUAAGAAAAUUCUCAACUGAAUCAUUGUGGCCUGUAGCUCCAGCCUAUCAUACCUUCUACACAGCAGAAAAUAACAUUGAAACUUACUCACAUUAUUAAAAUAUUACAGUGUGUAACGGGCGUACUACCGAUUAACGGACUAAGCACUAUCCUAACAAGCCGCAAUCGCUCGCUUGCGCUCGCUUAUCCAGCUUGAAAACACACUGUUUAAUCCCUCAAAUGAACAUAAUGAAAGAUAUAAGUAGCUGAAUAUAACUUGUAU